UACGUAGGGCGCAAGCGUUAUCCGGAAUUAUUGGGCGUAAAGAGCUCGUAGGCGGUUUGUCGCGUCUGCUGUGAAAACUCGGGGCUUAACCCUGGGCCUGCAGUGGGUACGGGCAGACUAGAGUGCGGUAGGGGAGACUGGAAUUCCUGGUGUAGCGGUGAAAUGCGCAGAUAUCAGGAGGAACACCGGUGGCGAAGGCGGGUCUCUGGGCCGUAACUGACGCUGAGGAGCGAAAGCGUGGGGAGCGAACAGG
rnacentral:rRNA from 1 species